ACGAACGCUGGCGGCGUGCCUAACACAUGCAAGUCGAGCGGAGACAGUGAGUAGCUUGCUAUGAGCUGUUUUAGCGGCGGACGGGUGAGUAACGCGUGAGCAACCUUUCCCAGACAGGGGAAUAACACACCGAAAGGUGUACUAAUACCGCAUAAGACCACGGAAUCACAUGGUUCUGAGGUAAAAGAUUUAUCGGUUUGGGGUGGGCUCGCGUCCGAUUAGGUAGUUGGUGAGGUAACGGCCCACCAAGCCGACGAUCGGUAGCCGACCUGAGAGGGUGAUCGGCCACAUUGGGACUGAGACACGGCCCAAACUCCUACGGGAGGCAGCAGUGGGGAAUAUUGGGCAAUGGAGGAAACUCUGACCCAGCAACGCCGCGUGGAGGAAGAAGGUUUUCGGAUCGUAAACUCCUGUCCUUGGAGACGAGUAGAAGACGGUAUCCAAGGAGGAAGCCCCGGCUAACUACGUGCCAGCAGCCGCGGUAAUACGUAGGGGGCAAGCGUUGUCCGGAAUAAUUGGGCGUAAAGGGCGCGUAGGCGGCUCGGUAAGUCUGGAGUGAAAGUCCUGCUUUUAAGGUGGGAAUUGCUUUGGAUACUGUCGGGCUUGAGUGCAGGAGAGGUUAGUGGAAUUCCCAGUGUAGCGGUGAAAUGCGUAGAGAUUGGGAGGAACACCAGUGGCGAAGGCGACUAACUGGACUGUAACUGACGCUGAGGCGCGAAAGUGUGGGGAGCAAACAGGAUUAGAUACCCUGGUAGUCCACACUGUAAACGAUGAAUGCUAGGUGUAGGGGGUAUCGACCCCUUCUGUGCCGCAGUCAACACAAUAAGCAUUCCGCCUGGGGAGUACGGCCGCAAGGUUGAAACUCAAAGGAAUUGACGGGGGCCCGCACAAGCAGCGGAGCAUGUGGUUUAAUUCGACGCAACGCGAAGAACCUUACCAGGUCUUGACAUCCACUUAAACUUACAGAGAUGUAAGGUGUGCUUGCACAAAGUGAGACAGGUGGUGCAUGGUUGUCGUCAGCUCGUGUCGUGAGAUGUUGGGUUAAGUCCCGCAACGAGCGCAACCCCUGCUUCUAGUUGCCAGCAUGUAAAGAUGGGAACUCUAGAAAGACUGCCGUAGAUAAUACGGAGGAAGGUGGGGAUGACGUCAAAUCAUCAUGCCCUUUAUGUCCUGGGCUACACACGUACUACAAUGGCUGUAACAGAGGGAAGCGAACCAGUGAUGGUAAGCGAAACCCGAAAAGCAGUCACAGUUCGGAUUGAAGGCUGAAACUCGCCUUCAUGAAGCCGGAAUUGCUAGUAAUGGCAGGUCAGCAUACUGCCGUGAAUACGUUCCCGGGCCUUGUACACACCGCCCGUCACACCAUGGGAGUUGGGAGUGCCCAAAGCCGGUGAGGCAACCGCAAGGAGCCAGCCGUCUAAGGCAAGACCAAUGACUGGGGUG
rnacentral:rRNA from 1 species